AGACUUUCCUCAAGACUGCGUUUGUGUGCACACAGUUCCACGUACUUGCCCAUCAUCAUUUAAAAUGGCUCAUCCUUCAGGACAAAGCAUUGGAGGAAAUUACAAAAGGAUCUGGAUUGUGGGCUCAAGCCUCAUACGUCGUGCUGAACCAAGGGCUGUCCAAACCAUGGGGAGAAACCUGGGGCUCAACGCCACAGUAUCUUGGUUUGGACAGGGAGGCCUGCGCUGG